UACGGAGGUGGCAAGCGUUGCUCGGAAUCACUGGGCGUAAAGGGCGCGUAGGCGGGGCGGUAAGUCGGGUGUGAAAUCCCUCGGCCCAACCGAGGAACUGCGCCCGAGACUGCUUCUCUUGAGUCCCGGAGAGGAAGGUGGAAUUCCCGGUGUAGCGGUGAAAUGUGUAGAGAUCGGGAGGAACACCGGUGGCGAAGGCGGCCUUCUGGACGGUGACUGACGCUGAGGCGCGAAAGCGUGGGGAUCAAACAGG
rnacentral:rRNA from 1 species